AGGGAUGUAGCUCAAAUGGUAGAGUGCUUGCUUAGCAUGCAACAGUUACGGGGAUCGAUACCCCGCAUCUCCA
rnacentral:tRNA from 1 species